rnacentral:rRNA from 1 species
UCAGAUGAGACUGCCGGUGACAAACCGGAGGAAGGUGGGGACGACGUCAAGUCAUCAUGGCCCUUAUGUCCUGGGCUACACACGUGCUACAAUGGCCGGUACAGAGUGAAGCGAAACCGCGAGGUGAAGCAAAACGCAGAAAGACCGGUCUCAGUACGGAUUGGAGUCUGAAACUCGACUUCAUGAAGUUGGAAUCGCUAGUAAUCGCGCAUCAGCAUGGCGCGGUGAAUACGUUCCCGGGCCUU